rnacentral:rRNA from 1 species
AGUGGCGGACGGGUGAGUAACGCGUGAGAAUUUGCCUUGGGGUCGGGGACAACCACUGGAAACGGUGGCUAAUACCGGAUAAGCCGAUUGGUGAAAGAUUUAUUGCCCGAAGAGGAGCUCGCGUCUGAUUGGCUAGUUGGUGAGGUAAGAGCUCACCAAGGCAGCGAUCAGUAGCUGGUCUGAGAGGACGAUCAGCCACACUGGGACUGAGACACGGCCCAGACUCCUACGGGAGGCAGCAGUGGGGAAUUUUCCGCAAUGGGCGAAAGCCUGACGGAGCAAGACCGCGUGAGGGAGGAAGGCUCUUGGGUUGUAAACCUCUUUUCUCAGGGAAGAAGCUCUGACGGUACCUGAGGAAUCAGCCUCGGCUAACUCCGUGCCAGCAGCCGCGGUAAUACGGAGGAGGCAAGCGUUAUCCGGAAUUAUUGGGCGUAAAGCGUCCGCAGGUGGCGAUUCAAGUCUGCUGUCAAAGCACGGGGCUUAACUCCGUAAAGGCAGUGGAAACUGAAUAGCUAGAGUGCCGUAGGGGUAGAGGGAAUUCCCGGUGUAGCGGUGAAAUGCGUAGAGAUCGGGAAGAACAUCGGUGGCGAAAGCGCUCUACUGGACGGCAACUGACACUCAGGGACGAAAGCUAGGGGAGCGAAUGGGAUUAGAUACCCC